AUUGAACGCUGGCGGCAGGCCUAACACAUGCAAGUCGAGCGGAGCGGCGGACGGGUGAGUAAUGCCUAGGAAUCUGCCUGGUCGUGGGGGAUAACGUAAGGAAACGGGCCCUAAUACCGCCAACUCUCAGAUGCGCCUAGGCCGGAUUAGCUAGUUGGUGGGGUAAAGGCCUACCAAGGCGACGAUCCGUACCUGGUCUGAGAGGAUGAUCAGUCACACUGGAACUGAGACACGGGCCAGACUCCUACGGGAGGCAGCAGUUGGGAAUAUUGGACAAUGGGCGGAAUCCUGAUCCAGCCAUGCCGCGUGUGUGAAGAAGGUCUUCGGAUUGUAAAGCACUUUAAGUUGGGAGGCGUUACCAACAGAAUAAGCACCGGCUAACUUCGUGCCAGCAGCCGCGGUAAUAC
rnacentral:rRNA from 1 species